GGGUGCAUAACUCAGAGGGAGAGUGUUACUUUCACAUAGUAAAAGUCAUAGGUUCGAAUCCUAUUGUGCCCA
rnacentral:tRNA from 1 species